rnacentral:rRNA from 1 species
ACGGAGGGUGCAAGCGUUAUCCGGAUUCACUGGGUUUAAAGGGUGCGUAGGCGGGUUGGUAAGUCCGUGGUGAAAUCUCCAAGCUUAACUUGGAAACUGCCGUGGAUACUAUCAAUCUUGAAUAUCGUGGAGGUGAGCGGAAUAUGUCAUGUAGCGGUGAAAUGCUUAGAUAUGACAUAGAACACCCAUUGCGAAGGCAGCUCGCUACACGGUUAUUGACGCUGAGGCACGAAAGCGUGGGGAUCAAACAGGAUUAGAUACCCUGGUAGUCCACGCCCUAAACGAUGAUUACUCGACAUCAGCGAUACACUGUUGGUGUCUGAGCGAAAGCAUUAAGUAAUCCACCUGGGAAGUACGACCGCAAGGUUG